GGAAGGGCGAAGCACAGAACUUUCAGAAGUAUGAAGUUAAAGAGCCCCAAUAUCUGAUUUUUUUCGUUUUCAAAACAGUGUCACCCAAGGCCUGUCAAGCGUUGAAAGCCUCACUCUUGGAUUUCCGGUCUUGUCUUCCAAUGUGGUUGGCAUCUGUUGAGUCGAAGGAGCCAGGGGUGGAGGCUGAGAAGACUGAUGAAGAUUUAGAAGCUCUGAUGAAAUGGAUGGGGAAAGGGGCCAACUAUGGUUAUAUAGAAGAAUUGCUGAGCAGUCCUGAGGGCCCGACUGAAAUUGGAACCAUGCACUUGCAGUGGAACCAGACAGGAUGUGUUUUCCUCUAAAAACCCGAGUAUGGGAAGAUCCAGGAAAAGGAAACAUGAAAGAUAGAAGGAACAAAGAGGAAACUUGAUGAAGCCAGGUCACAGAGCGAGCAGAAGGAUCAGGGAUCAGUAGUGCAGCGCAGUAAGUAACAGGAUGGAGGCCAGUGUUGGUUUUGAGGGAGGUCUUGGAGAACCUAUUUUCUCUGAUUAAUAGGCAGGGAGGAUUUUCAGCAAAUUUUCUUUUUCUGAGGGUUAACUGUGUCAGGUCCCAUUAAAACUGACAAAUAAGUAAAAUUUCAGGACAUAUAUUGUGAACAUUCAAAAAUAACAGCAAGGAAGCACGCAAGUGAAGGUCUGUGCUCCCUUAACGUGAAUUCAUUCCUAGCGUAGGCAAUAUAUGGGAAACCAUCUAACUCAAGGAAGGCAAGUAGACUUAGACUGAUAGGCCAACUCCGCCUGCUUGAUGGUGGCUGCUUGGGGUGUUACGUGAACAAUUCUGAGGAUCAGUGUGCAACAGCAUUGCCAUCAAUUUAUGAUGGCCAGUAAGGUCACAGAAAGGAGAGUGGGGAAUAUACACCACAAACUUGCCAUUCAUACAGUGGAUAGAACACAAAAGUUUUUUAUUUUCUCAUGUAUUGUUACUAAAGCAGUAUAAAAUUGUGUUCAAGUCACUUAAUUUGUUAUUAUUAGUUAACCUAAAAUGAAAGUUAAUAUUUACGUGUAUCUAAAUGCAUUGCAAGUAUUUUUAUUUGCAAAGCCCUCUGAACAUAGGAGAUGACACAUAAUUAUAAAUUAUGAUAAUGUGAGCAAUAUACUUUGUCAAAUACAGGUUUAUGUUUUAUCUGAACUACAUUACUAAUAGGAGACAUGUUUGGUUUAAGUGAACUUUGUCCAUGGAUAUAUGAUUCUAAUAUCUUUCCAAUGCUGGAAAUUUUAAAGACAUCUGUACUUUAACAGGCUGACAAAAAUAAGAGAAAUGCAAAGGUUGUUUUAUUUAUUGAGAACAAGAAGAGAACUGUGC
rnacentral:lncRNA from 1 species